rnacentral:rRNA from 1 species
GAGACAGCAGUAGCCGCGGGAAAACGAAGGGGGCUAGCGUUGCUCGGAAUGACUGGGCGUAAAGGGCGCGUAGGCGGAUCACGCAGUCAGAUGUGAAAUUCCUGGGCUUAACCUGGGGGCUGCAUCUGAGACGCGUGGUCUAGAGUGUGAAAGAGGGUCGUGGAAUUCCCAGUGUAGAGGUGAAAUUCGUAGAUAUUGGGAAGAACACCAGUGGCGAAGGCGACCCUCUGGUCUGUAACUGACGCUGAGGAGCGAAAGCGUGGGGAGCGAACAGGAUUAGAUACCCCUGUAGUCCCUGUCUCUUAUAC